rnacentral:ribozyme from 1 species
AAAACAGCAAAGACGAAUUGAGUAACAGAAUGAACUGAGAGUUUCAUUUGUUGUUCUACAUGGUGAUGAUACCUCUUUUUUUUUUUUCUUUUUCUUUUCCUGAUUCACACCUCUCUUGUGU